CAGCCGCCGCGGUAAUUCGUAGGGUGCGGGCGUUAAUCGGAUUUACUGGGCGUAAAGCGUGCGCAGGCGGCCCGUUAAGACAGGUGUGAAAUCCCUGGGCUCAACCUAGGAAUUGCGCUUGUGACUGGCGGGCUCGAGUACGGUAGAGGGGGGUGGAAUUCCUGGUGUAGCAGUGAAAUGCGUAGAGAUCAGGAGGAACACCGAUGGCGAAGGCAGCCCCCUGGGCCUGUACUGACGCUCAUGCACGAAAGCGUGGGGAGCAAACAGGAUUAGAUACCCUGGUAGUCCACGCCCUAAACGAUGGGUACUAGCCGUUUGGUGCGCGAUAGCGCUGAGUGGCGAAGCUAACGCGUGAAGUACCCCGCCUGGGGAGUACGGCCGCAAGGUUGAAACUUAAAGGAAUUGGCGGG
rnacentral:rRNA from 1 species